AGAUUGAACGCUGGCGGCAGGCCUAACACAUGCAAGUCGAGCGGUAGAGAGGUGCUUGCAUCUCUUGAGAGCGGCGGACGGGUGAGUAAUGCCUAGGAAUCUGCCUAGGUGGUGGGGGAUAACGUUCGGAAACGGACGCUAAUACCGCAUACGUCCUACGGGAGAAAGCGGGGGACCUUCGGCCUCGCGCCAUUGGAUGAGCCUAGGUCGGAUUAGGCUAGUUGGUGAAGGUAAUGGCUCACCGAAGGCGACGAUCCGUAACUGGUCUGAGAGGAUGAUCAGUCACACUGGAACUGAGACACGGUCAGACUCGUACGGAGCAGCAGUGGGAAUA
rnacentral:rRNA from 1 species